UACGUAGGGUCCAAGCGUUGUUCGGAAUUACUGGGCGUAAAGCGCGUGUAGGUGGCGAUGUAAGUCGGGUGUGAAAUCCCUUGGCUCAACCGAGGAAGUGCACUCGAUACUGCGUUGCUUGAGUGUUGGAGGGGAUGGCGGAAUUCCCAGUGUAGAGGUGAAAUUCGUAGAUAUCGGGAGGAACACCUGUGGCGAAGGCGGCCAUCUGGACAACUACUGACACUGAGACGCGAAAGCGUGGGUAGCAAACAGGG
rnacentral:rRNA from 1 species